UGGGGAAUAUUGCACAAUGGAGGGAACUCUGAUGCAGCGACGCCGCGUGAGUGAUGAAGGAAUUCGUUUCGUAAAACUCUGUUCUAUGGGAAGAAAAGGACUGUACCAUAGGAGAAAGCUCCGGCUAAAUACGUGCCAGCAGCCGCGGUAAUACGUAUGGAGCGAGCGUUGUCCGGAAUUAUUGGGCGUAAAGGGUGCGCAGGCGGCUUACAAGUUGGAUGUGAAAUAUUGUGGCUCAACCACAAACGUGCAUCCAAAACUGCAAAGCUUGAGUUAAGGAGAGGUAAGUGGAAUUCCUGGUGUAGCGGUGGAAUGCGUAGAUAUCAGGAGGAAUACCGGUGGCGAAGGCGACUUACUGGACUUAAACUGACGCUCAGGCACGAAAGCGUGGGGAGCAAACAGG
rnacentral:rRNA from 1 species